AUUGGAGAGAGAAGAGGUUGUUGAAAUUUCUCAAUGGAGCUCGACUGCUGCCAAAGUGGGCAAUGAAUAGUCUACCAAGCUACUUGAAUAAAUGGAUGGAUCCAGAUUAGAGUCCUAAAUACCAUGCCCAUGCUGACUUUCUAAGGAUGGUUGGGAAGGUGAGGUAAAGAAGGGUGUCAGAGGUGCUUUGUAGCAUCAUGAGGGUUCUGUAACCUUAGAGGUGAUUGAGGAGAUCAUGGAGCCAUCAUAUGGCUCCAACUAAGAUAUCUUGAACUAAUUCAAAAUCCGUUUACUCAGAAUGGUCUGGG
rnacentral:lncRNA from 1 species